UACAGAGGGUGCGAGCGUUGUUCGGAGUUACUGGGCGUAAAGGGUGUGUAGGCGGUUGUUUAAGUUUGGUGUGAAAUCUCCCGGCUCAACUGGGAGGGUGCGCCGAAUACUGAAUGACUUGGAGUGCGGGAGAGGAGAGUGGAAUUCCUGGUGUAGCGGUGAAAUGCGUAGAUAUCAGGAGGAACACCGGUGGUGUAGACGGCUCUCUGGACCGUAACUGACGCUGAGACACGAAAGCGUGGGUAGCAAACAGG
rnacentral:rRNA from 1 species